CAUGCAAGUCGAACGAUGAACUGGUGCUUGCACUGGGGAUUAGUGGCGAACGGGUGAGUAACACGUGAGUAACCUGCCCUUGACUCUGGGAUAAGCCUGGGAAACUGGGUCUAAUACCGGAUAUGACCUUCCAUCGCAUGGUGGUUGGUGGAAAGCUUUUGUGGUUUUGGAUGGACUCGCGGCCUAUCAGCUUGUUGGUGAGGUAAUGGCUUACCAAGGCGACGACGGGUAGCCGGCCUGAGAGGGUGACCGGCCACACUGGGACUGAGACACGGCCCAGACUCCUACGGGAGGCAGCAGUGGGGAAUAUUGCACAAUGGGCGGAAGCCUGAUGCAGCGACGCCGCGUGAGGGAUGACGGCCUUCGGGUUGUAAACCUCUUUCAGUAGGGAAGAAGCCGCA
rnacentral:rRNA from 1 species